GGGCCCUUAGCUCAGUCGGUAGAGCAGCUGGCUUUUAACUAGUUGGUCGUGCGUUCGAAUCGCACAGGGCCCACCA
rnacentral:tRNA from 1 species